rnacentral:rRNA from 1 species
UACAGAGGGGGCAAGCGUUAUUCACAUUGAUUAGGCGUAAAGGGCAUGUAGGCGGUUUUUUAAAAUUUUAUGUUAAAUUUUAGUGUCAUAACUAAAUCGCGUAAAAUAAAUAGAAAACUUGUGUAGAUUUAAAAGUAACGGAAUUGCUAGUGGAGGAGUAAAAUCCUGUAAUAUUAGUAGGAACGCUUAUGGCGAAAGCAGUUAUUUAAUUUACUACAGACGCUGAGGUGCGAAGGUUUGGGGAGCAAACGGG